UUCAAUCAUGCUAUUUGUUUUAAGGGGUUUAAAUUUUUUGGGUGAAUAAUGAAACGUCUCACUUAGAGCUAACAAUAUUAACACGCUUCAUCAGAUUUUUUUACUGAAGUAGUGAGAUAAUUACAGAAAUUAUGACAUUUAAUUUCCUAGAAAUAAUUUAACCUUAUAAUUUGUGUGUUUUUUUCAUUUCAGAAUAUCACUUCCAUAAAUACACACACAUACCCACACACACACUAAAUAAUUUUUUUCCCUCCAGGACUCCCUGUCCUCUCAAGAGUUAAUUUUCUGUACCUUAUUUUAAAAAUGGUCAAAACAGAGCUCCUGGCUUUGUCCUGCCAGCUCCUGAGUUGGAGAAGACAUUUGUCAGCUUGCACUUGCUCUUGUGUCAGUCGAGGGUGAAGUCCAGCCCAGGGCUCCACGUGGAUCCUCAUGUGACCCAGGUGCCUCUUUUUAGGCUGGUUUUUGGAAAGAAGUUACAAGUGUUACUCAACCUAUGUGCACAUUUUAUGGAGUUCUUUCUAAAAGAUAAAGUUAUAAAUGUGACUUUGCCCGUCCUAAGGCAAGUUUACCGGAUGACUUCUAGGACCCGUGAAUGCGGAGAAGGGUGGUUCCAGAAAGAUGGGCUGGCUGCAAGCGAUGGCUGAAGGAGGAUAAAGGAUGACAGUGUAAGUAUCGGCCAAGAUACUUGAUGUGUUGGACGAAGACCCAGACAAACACAUUCUGCCAAGAUGUUCUCCAUUCCAGCUGGUCCUCAGAGGGCUUCAGGUUUAUGCUGCACUGAGGAGUAAAGGUUAAUUUAUCUGGCGCUUCCCCCUGGAAGGCCUCCCAGGGUGAGGCUGGCUUCCUGCAGGGUGGGGCUGCUUGGCAAGCAUCCUGAGAAAGUACUGAGGUGGAGGGGCAUGAUGGGAGGCCAAGGCUCCAUACAUCAGACACCUGGAACUGCAAGAUUUGCACCUGAGCUCCUGUUCACACCAGGGAGGGUCUGGUCACACUGCAAACAGGAAUGCUGAGAAGGCCUGACGGCAGAAGUCCAAGGCUUGGACCACAGGCCCUCGUCAUAUCAGAGCUGAUGCCUACCUUCCUGCGUGCAGUUUAUUCGCCCAGAGUUUAGAUGGUGGUCUCGCCAGAUCACUGUGCACUGUCUCAGACAGCAAUUGGCCAAGAAGGGACCUCACACCUCCUCCUCUUCCUGCUUCUGUAAGUUUCUCUGAAUAAAUGCUAUUCUGGG